ACCUUUCCACGUUACCUCACAUCCCUCACGUGCCUCUCUCCUCUCUCUGCUGAUAAAAAAGGAAAACCAAAACAAACUUAAAAAAAUGACUUUUUCCUUUUCCCAAAUUGUCACCCAUUUCAAUAUAUACUCUCUCUGUAAAAAGAAAAAAACUCCACCGCCAACACCGCAUCACCCUUCCUUCACAAACCAAACACCUCCUUCCGCCGCUCACCGUAACACCCUCCACUCACCGUCACCGCUCCUCAACCAUCACCAACAUCCGCCGGAAAUCUCCACACAACGACCCUCCAUUUCAACUUCCGGCGACCUCUCCAACAUCCGACGACAACCUCCGCCAUCUCAACCGCCGACAUUUUUCCUUCGUCCAAGCUUACGACUUCAAACCGCCUUCCUCAACUCUCCGGCCUCUGUGCCACUAAAAAACCUCUCACCGAAUUGUUUGUUUUCUUUAAACUUUCCGUGAACACGCAGAAUCCACCGGAUCUAAUUCUUGAAAAGCUGUUAACAACCGGAAAGAUGAGAAAUUGAUUUUUAGGUGGUUUGUGUUGCUGUUGUAAUGUCUUUGAGUUGAUUUAGAAAUGAGGCAAACCAACAUCAUGCUAUCCCCUUUUUCCGUUUUGAAUAAGCAGGAAGGGUACAAGAGACUUUGUGGUUAAGAAGGAGAAAAAAUAUAUGUGUUCAUACACGCUCUGUCAUAGAAUUUGUUGGAAUUCUGAUUUUAAAUUGCUGUUUAUGUUUUCAUUAUUUUUCCAAGAUUUGGAUUGUUUAAUAGGUUACUGCGAAUGCACCGGUUCGGUAGACAUUGUGGGGACACCAAGUUGUGGGCAUCACUGAACUCAACUUUGCAUUUCCGUAUUCGGUAAAUUCUGAACCAAAAUUCUAUUUUCUUACGGGAUAAUUUGUAUUUGAUUUGGGUAGGAAGCUGUUACUUCCUGUUGGUUGCGUAACCGGCAAAUGUUUUUACCUGCGUAUUAAACAUAGUCCCCUUUCUUCUUCUUUCAUUUUGAAUUCCUUAAUUAGCAUUGGUUAUGAACGUCUCCUGUUUGUUUAUACAAAUUUGGUCAGUUUUGAAUAUUAAAAUGUGACUAUGUUAUUAGGUAAUCAAUUGUAAUGGUAGUAUUUAAUUUCUUGUGAAAUAUUGUGUUCAACCUGUGUUUUGCUGCACACAUUAAUGGUAUGAUUGCUACAGAGUCUCAUUUAGCCAUGCCUUUUGGAAUAUUACGGUUGCUUGCGGUAAUCAUUCGAUACAUGAUAUAAUUGUGGUAGCCUAGAUUUUCUUUUAACAGGAUAACAUGAUGUAAUUGUGGUAGCCUAGAUUUUCUUUUAACAGGAUAACAUGAUGUACACACUGCAGAUAAAUUGAAAUCCGUGGAAUUGGUUAAUUAGUAUUAAAAUUAAUUAAUUAGUUAAAUUUUGGUUAAUUAAUUAAUUGCGAUUAAUCUCUUCUAAUUAUAAUUAGAAUUAAUUAAUUAGUUAAAUUUUGAUUAAUUAGUUAAUUGCGAUUAAUCUCUUCUAAUUAUAAUUAGAAUUAAUUAAUUAGUUAAAUUUUGAUUAAUUAGUUAAUUGCGAUUAAUCCCUUCUAAUUAUAAUUAAAAUUAAUUAAAUUAUUUAAUUUUAAUCAACUUGAUUAUUUGAUUUAAUUGAAUAAUUUUGGUAAUUAAUUUCAAUUAACUUAAUUAAUCGAUUUAAACCUAAAAUUAUAAUAAAUUAGUUUUCGAUAAUUACGAAUGGGUCGUUUUCUCAUAUUAUCACAAUUUCACACUCAUUUACAAAAAUCACUUCAAUUUAUUCACAAAUUAAAAACCUCGAUCCAACAUGAAGUAUUCUUUAUUAAAAUUAAGUGAAAAUACUUGAUCACAAUUAAAUACCAUUUCAUUUGGAAAUGAAAAGGGGGGAUGGUUUUGAGUUUUCAACUCCUCUCCUCGAUUAUUUGAAUACGAGUUUUCUUACUCGGUUAGUCAAAUAGUCGUCAUGUCUAAUCCACUUAAGCAAAUCAAAACAUUCUUACAAUAAUAAGAAAUGAAAAGGGAGAUAACUUUGAAUCUUCAAUUUUUUCUCCUCGACUAUUUGAAUACAAUUUCUUUUACUUGGUUAGCCAAUAAUUGUCGUUCCUUUACAAACUUCUAAACCAAAACAAAUCAAACUAUUUCAUAAUAACGAAAUGAAAAAGGAGAUGACUUCGAGUCUUCAACUUCUCUCCUCAAUUGUUUGGAUACGAGUUCUCUUACUCGGUCAUUCGAACAAUUGUCAUUUUCCACCAACUUAUACCGUAAGUUAAAUGAUUGUCGUUCUUCUACAAACUUCCAAACCCCGAUUAAAUCCAAAUAUUUUUCACAGUAAGCCAAAUGAAAAGGGAAUUGAUUUUGAGUUUUCAACUUCACUCCCCAAUUGUUUGAUUACGAGUUCUCUUACUCGGUCAGUCGAACAGUUGUCAUUUUCUGCAAACAUACAACUUAAUCAAAUCAUUUUCUUAACAAACCGUACGAAAAGGGAGAUGAUUUUGAGUUUUCAAUUCCUCUUCUCAAAUGCUUGGAUAUGAGUUGUCUUACUCAGCCAUUCGAGCACUUGUCAUUUAUUCUAAAGUACAUCAACUAUACACAAACCUAUUUUCAUAAUCACUCAGAUGAAAAAGAAAGCGGUCUAGAGUCUUCUAUUCCCUUUCCCGAUUAUUAGGAUACGAGUUGUCUUACUCGAUUAUCCGAGUAUUCGUCAUCCAUUUAAAAUACCUUAAUCAUCAUUAAGAUCCUUUCACAAUUAAGGAUGAAAAAGAAAGUGGUCUAGAGUCUUCUAUUCCCUUUCCCGACUGUUAGGAUACGAGUUGUCUUACUCGAAUAUCCGAGUAAUCGUCAUCCAACAAAAAUAUCUCAACACAUCAAACCUAUCUUCCGCACCUCUUCCGCGCCCCCGUGCGAUCAAAACAUCUCAACCAAUCAAAACAUCCAAUAUACCAACUUGUCACGUCCGUAUGAUCAAAAUCCUUUUCAAAAAGAACAUUGUUAAUCCUUUCUAAUGCGCAUAACAAACCAAUGCUUAAGCCUCCGCCGAGAGUAGACAAGCCAGUGUUUAGCCUUUAGAACGCGAUCUAAAUAGUUGUUCACUAAAAGACACCAACCAACCGUAGUUCCCCGAACUACGAAUGCUCUGAUUUCCUUAUUAUAUCAUAAGGAUACGUAGGCAGGAGAUUGUUGUAUCUUCGCGAGCACACUAAUAAAAAACCUCACAUUUCCCUUUCUGAGGUUCCCAUCCAUUUCUAUUUUCAAUAAUUUAUAACCCAAAGAUAACAAACAAACAUAAAUUAACACCCGAAAUACAAAUUAGAACUAAAAGGUUCCCGUUGAGUACAAUGGACGCAAGAGGUGCUAAUACCUUCCUCUUGCGUAAUCCACUCCCGAACCCGAAUAUGGUUGCGACGACCAUUAUUCUAUUUCCUAAAGGUUUUAUCGAUAUUUUCCUAUCCCUUCAUUGGGAUAAAUAAAGUUCGGUGGUGACUCUGUUUGAACAUAAUUUUUUCCGCGACCAUCGCGAGGAAUCGUAUUUUUCGAGAUGCGACAGAUGGCGACUCUGCUGGGGAAUAUACCUCCAAGCAAAAGAGAGUGAGGCCUAAUUUAGUUCAGUUUCUGUAUUGUGUGUUAAUCUUGUUUGUUUAUGUGUUAUUUUUAAUUUUGUUAUUAUUAUUCUGUUGUAAUUAUUAUGUUGUGAUUUAUUGGCUAUGUCUUGUUUGGGGCUCUCUGUUAGUGGUGCUUUGUGAGAUAGGUUCUUCACCCGAGUCUGAGAAAAACCAUAAGAUUAAGUUGGUGGUUGCGUAGUGGGCGCCCGCAAGGAGUCUUCCUUGUUGGGAAGAAACGAAGACCUCGCCUAGAGGAGAUUCUCUUGAGAUAUUGUUGUCCGACGAGUCUUCGUCACGAUGAUAGUAUUCUCAAGUUGGAUCAAUGACUCUAGGGACCUUUUAACCCACUAUAUCCGGCGGUUAUGUAGUAUUAACCUACGAAGUCCCAGACUUAAUGAGUUAAUACGAAAGCCCCAAUCAGAUGAGAUCCCUUGGACGUAUUACUAUCUUACAGUAAUAUUUCCAACCUCGAUCUAUGACUCUGAGAACCUUGUUAGAACCCUGGACUCGAGAGUCGUGUAGUAGAAUCCUCAUGGAGUUUUCCUUGUUUGGAUAAUACAAAGACCUCACCUAGACGAGAUCUUCUUAAAGAUAUUAUUGUCCGACGAGUCUUCGUCACGGCAGUGACGUCCUCAAGAAAUAUCCAUGACUCUGGGAACCUACCCACUGUAGAGCCUACCCAUGGGGUUCCAUUAAUCAGAGAUACUUGUCAUUCACCCGUUAUUGUGAUCCAUCUGAGAACGCUUUGAACCUGUGAUCCUGAACAUGUCACUACAUUCAUACACAUAUCAUUGUAUUCACAUUCAUCAUCAUACAUUUCAUAUCAUUUUUCACCAAAAAAUAAAUACAAAAACCUCAUCCAUCCUUCGUCCAUAACCUGCAGUUGAUUUCCCGAUACUCAUAUCAGACUUGAAGUAGCUCUUGAAAGAUUAUGGAUCCAUUGGAGCAAAGUCACAUUGCAUUAAGAGGAGAUGUUGACUUGAUGAAAAACCAGAUAGACCCACUUGUGGAAGCUAUGAUAGUUUUAGCAAAGAAGGAAGACAACAUUCAGCAGACUGCAGUUGUUGAGAAUGUAAUGCUAGCUACAGUAAAUGGUCUUACCCAACCUCAGCUUGUGCAAACCCCAGUUGAUAACUCUACUAUACUCUAUUGUUCAGACAGGAAGGCAUCCUCAACACUGGCAAUCGUUGGACUGAUUUGUUUCUAUUUUUUGUAGUUUCUUUGUUGUUAAAAGCUGCUUGUGUUUAAACAUUGUUGUUUUUAAUGGUAAUAUUGAUGAAAUAACGAUGCAUGUUUUGAAUUAAUUAUCUCGCAUUCGCUCAUUUUUUUCUUCUCUUAUAUCAAAAACAAAAAAAUACAUCAGUGUUUCUCCCAUUCACUUUUCUUUAUCAUAACUUUUGUUUUAGCAAAGAAAUUUUUUUCUUCUCUUAUAUCAAAAACAAAAAAAUACAUCAGUGUUUCUCCCAUUCACUUUUCUUUAUCAUAACUUUUGUUUUAGCAAAGAUUUGAGGGAGGAUGACGAAAACAAAACACCCAUAAUGCUGACUGUAUGCUUUCGAAUAAAAUCCUACUAAUGAUGUACAGGCAUUGUUUCAAAUCCCCAAACACUGGAGAGAUAAGGAGUUAAUCCCUAGUCAACCACUUCGAGCCUGAAGCAGGAGUUUCUUUCGAAUAUAAAAAAACCUUACAUUAAACCUGGGGCAGGGUAGUGUUCAAUUAAUCUGACUAUGCAUUCAAAUCACAAGAUGAAAUAUCCAGUAUGUGGAUCAACUACAUGACAUUCUUUGCACACAUCCUAAAGUGUCGAAGGAACCUUGAAAAAUCAAAAUGUUAUGACGGUUAUUCUUCAAUGACCAAUGACUUGGCAGUCACAAUUUCCAAAAAAAAAAUCAAAGAAAGAGCCUGAUAAGUCUAACAUCCUAAAAGGAGACUUAGGCAAAAACUGGGACAAUCCUGAUGGAUUAAAGCUUCAACAAGCGGUCCAUGCAAAAGUUAGGGAUCAAGACAAAAAAAAUCAAAGAAGGUCACGAAAGACCCUCAACAAAACAAAACAAGAAUCAGUGGCCACCAUACCAAAAUCAAAAGGUCACCAACAUCCACGAAGAGCAAAAUAGGACGACUGUCAUUUCAAGAGAUAUUGCACUGCUGAAAUCUCGCAAAAGUAAGUGUACGUCGAAUUAAUUGAACGUGGGAUUGGAGAUCAUCAUGAAGAAGGGGUGGGUUAAAAGAAACUUUGAGCCUUAUAUCCUUUUGUUUCAUUAACCAUGAACCAAGCCACAUUACAACCCUCAAAAGACCUAAUUGAAGUAAGGUUUAUUUCGAAAGCAUACUAUAGCAAGGUUGCGUAAACUGACUCCUAAAGAUUUGCUAAUCUUCAACACCGAUGUCAUUAUUCUCGUUGUGUCUUUCACACUUUAAAUUGCUAAAUCAGCAUUACAUUUGGACUCAUGGUCCACUCGUCACACAUUAUCACAUCAUUCCAAUAAAUGAUUCUUUUUCAAAACUUGCAUGAGUAUCGCAUUAAAAUUAUCAUUUCUGAACAAACAAUUUUAACUGCAAGACAGUACUUGACGUCAGGGAAAUUCCAACAAUAAGGAACAAUUAGAGGAACUUGGACAUUCGUUGGUGCUAACCCGAAUCAAGACUACCUCAUAACCACAACAAUAAGGAACAAUUAGAGGAACUUGGACAUUCGUUGGUGCUAACCCGAAUCAAGACUACCUCAUAACCCACGAAUCAGGUGCAUGCCACCCAAAACAUCAAGUUGAUCAUAGGAAAAUUACUCUAAGAGUUGGUCAGUCUUAAACAGUCUCCAACAUCUGUUAAUAAAUGUGCAAAUCAUUUCAAGAAUCAGUUGAUCCAGAGCAAAUCAUCUCAGGACUCUAUUAACUAGGGGCAGAUCACCUAGAGUUCUGUUGACCAGAGGCAGACCCCUUCAAUGUUCAGUUAGGGUGAGUUAAGUCGCUUCAACGCUCAUACCAGGGCAAGCUACCUCAAGAGCACAGAAAAGUCAACUGCUCCAAGAGUCGGUUAACCAAGGAUAAAUCCUUUCAUGGAUCAAAAUUCUAGGGCAACCCAUCUCCAAAUUAUGGUACAAUUGCUUUCAAAAUCCUUUCGAGGUAAACAUUUUGCAUAGACCCAUCACAUUGGGGCAAGAUGAGUCGUACAGGUGCAAGUCAUCUCCCUGACUUCAAGUUGUUCAAGCGAAAGCUUUUUCACACGUCAUCAACUGCAGAGUUCAAGAUGAGUGUCGGGGAAUCACGCUAUCACCCCAUAAAAUAACCUUUUGACAGAUAAAAGCCUUUCUGCAAAACACCUUCUCUUCCAAUACCCGUGCAGGGGCAUUUUGGAAACCUUCCAAUCAUUACAUAAAUCAUCAUCAUGCAUUAGUCAUGUCGCUUUGCUCUAGCAUAAAGCCAUGCAUAUGAUAUCAUUUAUCAGGCAUAACCCAUAACUGAACCUGACAUCAAAAAGCCUUGAAACCCAAAAUCUAACGCCAAAGUCUAAUUCUCGUUUGGCAAAUUAUUUCAAAGCCCAGUUCCCGUCUGGCAAUUUAUUACAAAGUCCAGUUCUCGCCUGGAAAUUUAUUUCAAAGUCCAGUUCCCGUCUGGCAAUUUAUUUCAAAGCCCAGUUCCCGUCUGGCAGCCUUUUUCAAAAGCCCAGUUCCCGUCUGGCAAUUUAUUCCAAAAUUCAGUCCCGUUUGACAUUUUAAUUAUUUUCACCAAUUCCCGUCUGGCAAUUUAUUACAAAGUCCAGUUCUCGUCUGGCAAUUUAUGACAAAGUCCAGUUCUCGCCUGACAAUUUAUUUCAAAGCCCAGUUCCCAUCUGGCAACCUUUUUCAAAAGCCCAGUUCCCGUCUGGCAAUUUAUUUCAAAGCCCAGUUCCCGUCUGGCAAUAAUAAAGUUUUGGGUCAAGGGCAGACCGUUAAGUAAAGUAAGCCCAGUUCCCGUCUGGCAAUUUAUUUCAAAACCCAGUUCCCGUCUGGCAAUUCAUUUCAAAGCCCAGUUCCCGUCUGGAAAUUUAUUUCCAAAGUCCAUUUCUCGUCUGGCGAUUUAUUUCCAAAGUCCAGUUCUCGUCUGGCGAACUAUAUCAAAAAUCAGUUCUUGCAUGACAAAUCAUUUGCGAAAUACCAGUUCUCGUCUGGUAAAGUAUCUCUUAAUACCAGUUCUCGUCUGGUAGGUCACUUAUUUCGAUACCAGUUCUCAUCUGGUAGUCAAUUAUUUUCACCAGUUCUCGUCUAGUAGCCUGCUUUAAAAAUCAGUUCCUGUUGGACAAACAAAAACAAAUCCAGUUUUGUCUGGUAGUCAAUUAUUUUCACCAGUUCUCGUCUGGUAGCCUAUUUUAAAAAAAAGUCAGUUCCCGUCUGACAAACAAAAACAAAUUCAGUCCCGUUUGACAUUUCAAUUAUUUUCACCAGUUCGCGUCUGGUAACAUAUCCUUCAAGUGUUGUCCUCAUUUGGCAGUUCAAUCUCCUUCACCAGUUCUCAUCUGGAAGCUCCCACUUAAAGUCCAACCUCGUUGGCAAUCAAGAACCCUACAAAAAAAUUAUUACCCAGUUGCAUUCCCACAUGCAUCACACGAAUCACCCAUACAUGGUUUUCCUACCAAAUAGAAAAUUCAAAAAACACAGUCAUAUCAAUCAUCAACAUACUCAUGCAUAACACUCCCACAAAAUGGGAAUUUCAACAAAAUAAAAAUCAUUCGUAUUCCUACAUGCGCAUCCUAAAUACCCCCCAGCAAAUUGCAUACUUGCAUACAUCCCAUGCACCAUCCCAUGCAUGGUAUCCCACCAAAAGUGGGACAUCAUACAAAAAUCAAAAGUAAAAUGUGAGGACCCAAGGUCAUUCAUGUAUAUCUUGGACAUUCCUCAUUCCAAAUGAAGUUAUUACCCUGCAUAUGCUCGUGGGAUUAUAUCUCAGUAAAUCAUUUUUUCGACUUUACGAUUAAUAAUGAUAUUCCGAGCAAUUUCUUUACAAUCAAUGCUCCCGCUCGCAGAGGUUACCCUAAAAAAUCUCUUAUAGCUUUUCCCCUGCAAAGCAUUUUCCAGUAUGUCCUCCUCAAAGGGAGUCCUUUUCUUAAAGUUUCCCCCAACAGACGAAUUUUUGAGAUACUGCUUCAUUUAAAUCUGAAGAAUCUCAUUUCUCUGUUUGAGAUACUGCUUCAUCAAUUUGAAGAAUCUCAUUUGUUUUCUAGAGAUACUGCUCUAAGUAUCCUCGGAGAGUCUUAGAUUCAAUUAAGGUAUCAUUCCCUUGUUUGGAAUAUCCUAAUUCUAUCAUAUAAGAUGCUGCUUCGACUCGAUACAGAGAAUCUCACUUUUACUGUUUGAGAUGUUGCUUCAUCAAUAUGAAGAGUCUCAUUCCAGAUUUGUUUCUAGAGAUACUGCUCUAAGUAUCCUCGAAGAGUCUUAGAUUCAAUUAAGAUAUUUUUCCCUUGCUGGAACAUCUUAAGUCUAUCAUAUAAGAUGCUGCUUCGACUCGAUACAGAGAAUCUCAUUUUUACUGUGUGAGAUACUGCUUCAUCAAUAUGAAGAGUCUCAUUUCAGUUUUUUUUAGAGGUACUGCUCUAAAAUCCUCGGAGAGUCUUAGAUUCAAUUAAGGUAUUUUUCCCUUGUUGGAAUAUCUUAAUUCUAUCGUAUAAGAUGCUGCUUCGACUCGAUACAGAGAAUCUCAUUUUUUACUGUUUGAAAUGCUGCUUCAUCAAUAUGAAGAGUCUUAUUUUCAGAUUUUUUAGAGAUACUGCUCUAAAAUCCUCGGAGAGUCUUAGAUUCAAUUAAGGUAUUUUUCCCUUGUUGGAAUAUCUUAAUUCUAUCGUAUAAGAUGCUGCUUCGACUCGAUAUAGAGAAUCUCAUUUUUUACUGUUUGAGAUGCUGCUUCAUCAAUAUGAAGAGUCUCAUUUUCAGAUUUUUUAGAGAUACUGCUCUAAUAUCCUCGGAGAGUCUUAGAUUCAAUUAAAGUAUUUUUCCCUUGCUGGAAUAUUUUAAUUCUAUCAUAUAAGAUGCUGCUUCGACUCGAUACAGAGAAUCUCAUUUUUACUAUUUGAGAUGUUGCUUCAUCAAUAUGAAGAGUCUCAUUUCAUAUUUUUUAGAGAUACUGCUCUAAUAUCCUCGGAGAGUCUUAGAUUCAAUUAAGGUAUCUUUCCCUUGCUGGAACAUCUUAAUUCUAUCAUAUAAGAUGCUGCUUCGACUCGAUACAGAGAAUCUCACUAAAUAUCCUCGGAGAGUCUUAGAUUCAAUUAAGGUAUCUUUCCCUUGCUGGAACAUCUUAAUUCUAUCAUAUAAGAUGCUGCUUCGACUCGAUACAGAGAAUCUCACUUUUACUGUUGAGAUGCUGCUCCAUCAAUAUGAAGAGUCUCAUGCCAGAUUUUCUUUAUACUGCUCUAGCAUCCUGAAAAAUCUUGAGAUUUAGCUAGGGAAGUCACUCCAUUACUAACAUAUCUUGACUGUGAUGUCCAAGAUACUGUUCUGACGUUUCCCAGAAAGUCUUGGCUGUCUCGUUUUACCUUUUGAUAACUUUUCUUACUAUAUUUCUCACUGCAUUUUCUUUCUGCAUUUCUUCCUUGCAUUUCAAAAAGACAAAAUUUGGGUCUUUUCGUAUUUAAUUAUCUUCCACUACGAAUGUAUGAAGACCGUUGUCAUUCUUACCUUCUAGUUCAAGAUAAUGAAAUAGGGGCAGCUGUCAUACCCCAAUUUUAUCCGGGCAUAUUUAAAUUUUUGUAAAAUCGAUUUCAUUUUUAAUUUGCAUCAUAUGCACAGCAUGACAUGCAUUUCAUCAUGAAUAAAACCUAAAAUAUCAGUCAGAAUAAAUUUAUUGAAAAUACAGACAAACUGGUUAAAUCAUUUCUCANUUAGUUAAUUUGAUAAUUGUUAAUUGCCCGGAUUAAUCCCUUCUAUUUAAUUUUAAAAACUAUUAAAUUAUUUUAAUUUUAAUCAACUUGUUAUUUGAUUUAAUUGAAAUUUUGGUAAAUUUAUUUCAUUAACUUAAUUAAUCGAUUUAAACCUAAAAUUAUAAUAAAUUAGUUUUCGAUAUUUUACGAAUGGUCGUUUUCUAAUUUAUCACAAUUUCACACUCAUUUAACAAAUCACUUCAUUUAUUCACAAAUUUUAAACCUCGAUCCAACAUGAAGUAUUCUUUAUUAAUUUAGUGAAAAUACUUGAUCACAAUAAAUACCAUUUCAUUUGAAAUGAAAAGGGGGGAUGUUUUGGUUUUCAACUCCUCUCCUCGUUAUUUGAAUACGAGCUUAUACUUACUCGGCUUUAGUCAAAUAGUCGUCAUGUCUAAUCCACUUAAGCAAAUCAAAACAUUCUUACAAUAAUAGAAAUGAAGGGAGUAACUUUGAGUCUUCAUUUUUCUCCUGACUUUGAUACAUUUCUUUUACUGGUUAGCGUAAUUUCGUUCUUUACAAACUUCUUAAACCAAAACAAAAUAAAUUUCAUAAUAACAAAAUGAAAAAGGAGUGACUUUGAUCAUUAACUUCUCUCUCAAUUAGUGUACGAGUUCUCUUCACUCGGUCAUUCGAAACAAUUGUCAUUUUCCACCCAAACUGUAUACGUAAGUUAAAUGAUUGUCAUUCUUUCAAACUUCUAAACCACCGAUUAAAUCAAAUAUUUUUCACAGUAGCAAUGAAAAGGAUUGAUUUUGCGUUUUCAACUCACUCCCCAAUUGUUUGAUUACGAGUUCUUCUUACUCGGUCAGUCGAACAUUGUCAUUUUCUGCACAACAACCUUAUCAAAUCAUUUCUUAACAAAACGUACGAAAGGGGAUGAUUUUGAGUUUUCAAUUCCUCUUCUCAAUGCUUGGAUAUGGAGUUGUCUUACUCGCCAUUCGAGCACUUUCAUUUAUUCUAAGUACAUCAACUAUUACACAAACCUAUUUUCAGAUCACUCAGAUGAAAAAGAAAGCGGUCUAGGUCUUCUAUUCCCUUCCCGAUUAUUGGAUACGAGUUUGUCUUACUCGAUUAUGUGAGUAUUCGUCAUCCAUUUAAAAUACUUAAUCUCAUAAGAUCCUUUCACAAUUAGGAUGAAAGAAGUGGUCUAGAGUCUUCUUAUUCCUUUCCCGACUUUGUUUAGUUACGAGUUGUACUUACUCGAAUAUCCGAGUAAUCGUUUAUCCACAAAAAUAUCUCAACACAUCAAACCUAUCUUCCGGCCUCUUCCGCGCCCGUGCCCGAUCAAAACUCUCAACCAAUCAAAACAUCCAAUAUACCAAUUGUCCGUCCGUAUGAUCAAUCUUUUCAAAAAGAACAUUGUUAUCCUUUUAAUGCGCAUUUAACAAACCAAUGCUUAGGCCUCCGCGAGAGUGACAAGCCAUGUGUUAGCUUUAAGAACGCAUCUAAAUGUUGCUUCCUAAAAAGACACCAACCAACCGUGUUCCGAACUCGAAUUGCUUGUUUCCUUAUUAUACCAUAAGGAUACGUAGCAGAGAUUGUUGUAUCUUCGCGAGCCACUAAUAAAACCUCCCAAUUUCCCUUUCUGAGGUUCUCUCCAUUUAUUAUUUAAUAUUUUAUAACUUAAGAUAACAAACAAACAUAAAAAUUAACACUCAAAUCAACAAAAUUGAACUAAAAGCGUUCCCGUGAGUACACGGACGUAAGGGCGUGCUCAUACCUUCCCCUUACGUUCAUCCCUCCCGAACCCCGAUAUGGUUGCGACGACCAUUAUUCCAUUUCCUAAAGGUUUUUACGAUAUUUUCCUAUUCCUUCAUUGCGGAUAAAUAAAGUUCGGUGUGGCCGACUUGUUCGAACGUAAAUUUUUCCGCGACCAUCGCCGAGAAUCUAUUUCUGGACUGGAAUUCUCUGCUUGAUUCACUCACAGGUUUUUUCUUAAUUUGCUGAAUUCAUUUUAUUUUUAUUUCCUUUUAUUUUAAAAAUCAUAUCUUUAUUUUAAAAUCCAAAAUUAUGGGACAAUUGCAUUAUUUCCUUUUUAAUUCUAGUUUCUGAAAAUGAUUUUUAAUUUUAUGAGUCCAUUUAAUAUUUUUUGUGAAUUUCUCUUUUCUGCUUAUUUUAAUUCAUUUAAUAGUUUCCAUAUUCAAAAAUGCAAAAAAUUUUUUAACUCUUUGAAUUGAUGAUGAAUCUGAUGAAAAAUUUCUCCUCAAUUUUCUUAAUUGAUUUUGAGAUUAUUAGUUCAUAUAUGUAUAUUUCUUCAUCUUUUAAUUGUUAAUUAGAUUUCUUUGGUUUCCAAAAAUGCAUGAAAUUUUUUUGUCAAACUUUGUUUUGACCUUUUGAACUCUUACGGAUGAUCAUUUGGACUUUUCCAAGUUGAUUUGAAAUGGAUUGAAGUUUGCCUUUAUUUUGUUUAUUUUUAAUUCAAGUAUAUUAAAUUCCAAAUCAAAAAUAUUUUAUUUGCUUUCUUGACUUCUAAGCUUCAUCUUCACUUCUGUUACCAUUGAUUGACUUUGAUUCUAUUUUGUUUGAUCAAUGUGUGUUUGGUAUUUAUUUUGAAUUUCAAUUUAUGUACUUCUAUUUUCUUCUUCUUCAUCUUUUUUCUUUUUGAUCAAUGAUUUUAAGAGGUGGUUAAAGCGUUUGACAUAUUGAGAGGCUAACCUUUUCUGAUUCAAUCAAAUUCUCUUGAUCAAAGAUCAACGUGAAGUGCUUUGCAUUAGGAUAGGUUGCUUCUUAGUAAAGCAAAAAAAACCUAAAUCAUACAAUAUAUUCUUUUUUUUGGCAUGGCGAGUUUGUUAGGAGCUUGGCUACUAGUCCAUUGGUCUCUAACUUGUGUUUGCUUGCCUAUAGUUUUAUUGACCGGCCUCAGAUAGUGUGAACUCUACUUAGUCACUUACGAUGCUUAACAUUAUCGCUAAAUUGCCUUAUGACACUAACAUUAACUAUAAUCAUUAACUUUUAAUUCAGCUUAAUUCUUGCCAAUUUACUUUAAUCAUUUAAUUUCUUUGCACAUUAAUUCAUUUACUUUUGCUCUUUUCUCACUUGAGCUCAUGUGUAUGUUAAUGAAUUUUGCCUUUUGUCACUUGAAGCACAUUAUUGUGUAUUUAUUUGUGUUGUUUUGUUUUGUUGUGUGGAACCAAUGCAAUGGACAAGGACUUAGAUUUUAGACCUUACCUAUGCUAAUGGAGUUUUGAAGAGCCAACUAGGCCUCAUUCCUUUUAGUGCCCUAUAUUGUCAAAGAGCAACUAAGCCUCAUUGCCUUUUGAUGCUUAAAUUCUUGAAAUGAUUUGAAAGGAUCCUAAUUAUAAACUCACUCUUGUUCAUUCUUUAUUUGCUUGUAACUUUUUUAUUUGUGUGCUUUGUGUGCUAGGGAUCUAAAACUGAGCCAAUUAGAAACAUUUUCAUUGAGCAUCCAAAGGAGAGAUACAAAAGCCAUUGGAAGAUUCCUAGGAGCUUGAUUGUUAUUUGCUUGAUUGCUUGAGUUAUUGCUUAUGUGCUAUUCCAAAGGAUGGGAGCAACUUGGAUCAUCUUAUAUAUCUCAAGAAGGGAACUCCAAUGUGGUUUAUUCUCUUCCUUCAUCUUUGCAUGUUUUAGGACCUAGCCAUUUCUUUUUCUCUCCGCUCUACCAAGCCAAACUUUUGAUGAAACUUACAUUGUUUUCAAAAAUAGAAACCUAAGACACUAUACAUUUGAUUUUUCCAAACUCUUUUCAUAACACUUAUUUGAAUUUAUUUUAAGUCAACUUUGACACUUACUUUGUGAAUACUUUUCAUUGUAAUACAACUCACUCAAUUGUUUUUGCUUUCAAUGGCCACUUCUUGCAAAGCUUUUUAUAAACAAUAGCUUUAGGUUAUUGAGUUAUGCCGAGAGGUGAUAUAAUACUCACCUAUCUUUAGUUUGAUCGAACUAUUAAGACUUCAUUGCUUAUUAUAGGGUUACCCCUACUGAUGUUUGAAGCUCUCCUUUCACAUUGUGGAUUUGUGGUUUUAGGUUGAGUUUUUCCCCUUUGAUAACAAAAGACCUUAAGGCUUUUAACCAAUCAAUUCACCAAUUCUUUUGAGAUUUUUACCCCGAACUACGAGGUGAUCCUAAUCUUUUUUAAGAUGGUACGUAGGCAAUGCGGUUUAUCCAUUCAAACUUGUAAAUAAAUUGCUAUAUUCUUUCUAUCUCCCCAUCAUGUUUGCCACAAAUAUUUUCACAAAUACCAACCUCCUUACACAUUGGUGAAAAGGGCUCCUAAUUCGGUCACCAUUCCAUUGAAAUUCCCACCGUUAAUCCGACAUUUUUCAUCAAUAUUUGUAAGAUUUUAUGUUUGUUUAUAGUUGUUUCAGAGUCAUUUUAUCAUGUUUUGUUGGUUUGGUAUCGCAUUGCAUUUUAUUACAAGUUUAUGUCAAAAAGGUCUCUUUUACGCUUCGUUUUGGUAGUGUUAUUGUUACAGGCCAUUGCACAGGUUUAAAAGCACUAACAGUGGAGUUGUGGAUACUCAGAAAGGCAAAAAUAUAAAGAGACAGCAGGUCAACACGGGCCCCCGUGUGCUACAACGCUGCCCGUGUUGUUGGUCAGGCAAAGCAAACUUGGAGAGGAAAAACAGAGAGCAACACAGGCACCCGUGUGGUGACACACGGCUGUGUUGUUUAAAACAGUGCAUUAACACGGGCACCCGUGUGUAGGAACACGACCCGUGUUGUUACCUCUGUACCUUAAUUUGAAAAUGCUCAUGUUGGAGAGCACACACGGGCACCCUUGUGUACACAGACGACCCGUGUUGAUGGGCGCAACUUAGAAACUUCAAUUUUUUCCAUGUGAACCUAUUCUGCUCAUUAAGGGUAGUUUGGACUUUUUGCUAGAGGAAAAUCCAUCUGAAACUAUUAGAAGGCUUGAGAGAGAAAGGAGAAGUCACUUUUUGACUUACGAAAGAAAACACUGUAUUGAGAAGAUAGCUACCACGGAGGAUUCGAAGACGACGUGAUUCAAGGGUUCCGACCAUUGAAGAUCAAAAUCUCCUAGUUCUUUGUAAUGUCUAAUUUUCAUACUAUGAUUUCGUUUAAUACUAUGAGAGGCUAAACCCCCUAUGUUAGGGGGGUGGUCCUGAUUUGAUCGUCAUGUUACUGAUGUUGACCAAUGUUUCUUUUACUUCUGUACUUAUUUCAAUUCAUUGUGUGCUGUUAUUCUGCUUUUGUAUCGACAAAUACAAUUGAUCUAGAUGACUAUCAAUUAACAGGAUUGUUAGGGUUUUCACACAAUUGGGUUUAUGAAUGAAUCAUCUAGGACUAGUAACUUUUGUAAACCACCGAAAACCUCGAUUUUAUUUAUGAUUAAAACCAAGGAUUUAUUGAAUGGACAUUUGAUAAAAAUUGGUAGUUUAAUAGUUUCUUUCUUGAGGACUUAAGGAAGAACAUUCUGAGGUUAGGUAAUUGGAUGGUUCAUGUGUAUUAAGGAAAUCUUGACUGAAUUCAUAACUGGUUAAAUCAACCACCUAUCCUAGCAUGUUUUAACUUAAUCAAUUAUAUUUUAUUGUCUGUUGUGUUUAUUGCUGAAAUUCCAAAAACAACCAAACCAUUAUCUUUGUGUUCUGAUAGAAUCAAAGUUAAAUAAGUAUUUCCUACGCAAUCCCUGAGAUUGAUACUUGGAAAUAAAACUCCUUAUUACUACAUUGGUAAAAAUAGUACACUUGCUUUCGCCGCUCACCGUAACACCCUCCACUCACCGUCACCGCUCCUCAACCAUCACCAACAUCCGCCGGAAAUCUCCACACAACGACCCUCCAUUUCAACUUCCGGCGACCUCUCCAACAUCCGACGACAACCUCCUUCCGCCGCUCACCGUAACACCCUCCACUCACCGUUACCGCUCCUCAACCAUCACCAACACCCGCCGGGAAUCUCCACACAACGACCCUCCAUUUCAACUUCCGGCGACCUCUCCAACAUCCGACGACAAC
rnacentral:lncRNA from 1 species